CUAUCUCGGAAGUCACCGAAAUGCAAAUAUGUUAUUUAUGACAAGGAGGUAACAAUCAGUCUGUGGAGAUGCUUUACACAAAACGUUAAACUGUAAUGCACAUGGUCUGAACAAAAUUUAAGUUCCGGUAUAAAAGAAAAUCGUCUUUA